CGAGCGGUAAGGCCUUUCGGGGUACACGAGCGGCGAACGGGUGAGUAACACGUGGGUGAUCUGCCCUGCACUCUGGGAUAAGCUUGGGAAACUGGGUCUAAUACCGGAUAUGACUGCAUGGCGCAUGGGGUGUGGUGGAAAGAUUUAUCGGUGCAGGAUGGGCCCGCGGCCUAUCAGCUUGUUGGUGGGGUAAUGGCCUACCAAGGCGACGACGGGUAGCCGACCUGAGAGGGUGACCGGCCACACUGGGACUGAGACACGGCCCAGACUCCUACGGGAGGCAGCAGUGGGGAAUAUUGCACAAUGGGCGGAAGCCUGAUGCAGCGACGCCGCGUGAGGGAUGAAGGCCUUCGGGUUGUAAACCUCUUUCAGCAGGGACGAAGCGUGAGUGACGGUACCUGCAGAAGAAGCACCGGCUAACUACGUGCCAGCAGCCGCGGUAAUACGUAGGGUGCGAGCGUUGUCCGGAAUUACUGGGCGUAAAGAGUUCGUAGGCGGUUUGUCGCGUCGUUUGUGAAAACCCGGGGCUCAACUUCGGGCUUGCAGGCGAUACGGGCAGACUUGAGUGUUUCAGGGGAGACUGGAAUUCCUGGUGUAGCGGUGAAAUGCGCAGAUAUCAGGAGGAACACCGGUGGCGAAGGCGGGUCUCUGGGAAACAACUGACGCUGAGGAACGAAAGCGUGGGUAGCAAACAGGAUUAGAUACCCUGGUAGUCCACGCCGUAAACGGUGGGCGCUAGGUGUGGGUUCCUUCCACGGGAUCUGUGC
rnacentral:rRNA from 1 species